rnacentral:lncRNA from 1 species
AAACCAUUUAGAUAUGUUUUGAAGUUCUUUGUUCAUCAUGGAGAAAAGGAGAUAAAUGUCACUUUUAGAGAGAAAUAAGUUUGUGUCAUCAGCAAACAUAAUACUUAGAAGAUUUGAUGCUUUAUGCAAGUCGUUGAUAUAUAUUAGAAAUAAAAGAGGGCCUAAGAUGGAACCUUGCGGAACACCACAGGAAACAUUUAAAAACUGUAUAUGAUUAAGUUCAUUACAAGAAACAAAUUGUCUUCUGUUUGAUAAAUAACUUUGAAGCCAUUUAAUUACUCUUUCAUUUAUUCCGUAAUAACUAAGUUUAUAAAGUAAAAUAUCAUGAUCGACAAUAUCAAAUGCUUUUGAAAGAUAGAUAAAAAUUCCUUAUGUAAAUUGAGAUUUUUCAAAAGAAUAAGAAAUUUCACGCACAAACUGAAUAAUUGCAUGCUCUGUUGAGUUAUUUUUUUUAAAGCAUUAAACAUGAUUCUUUGUAGUAUUUUUGAAAAUAUAGAUAAGAUAGAAAUAGGCCGGUAACUACUUAUAUCAGAUUUGUCACCACCUUUAAAAAUUGGAAUUACUUUAGCAAUUUUCAAUUGAUCAGGAAAGACUUCUUGUUCUAUUGAAGAUCAAGAAUUUAAAAAGAAUAUAUUUUUUUGUUAAAAGCAAUCUAAAAUUAUGUUACCAUUGAUUUCAUCCGGUCCAACUGCUUUAUUUUUUUUUAGUGUUUUAAAGGCUUUUUCGAACUCAUCAAAUAAUAACUAUUUAGAUGACUCAUCCGAGUGAAUGCAAUUAUCCAUCGGUAAUAAGAAAUCUUUAAAUGAGACUUCUGUAUUAGGAAUUAAUUUAGAUAGUUUAGGGCCAAUUUCAACAAAAAAUUUAUUGAAUUCAUGAGCUAUUGUUUCAGAACUAUUUAUAUUGUUAUUAUUCACUUUGAUCAUGUGUGGCAGGGAACCUGAGCAUGAUUUAGAUUUACUGGAAAAUUAGCAUCAUAAACAGAGUAAAAUAUAUUAAAGAAAUUAUCGUAAAUGUUGUUUGUAUUAUCACUAAAGUCGAUGUUCUUCCAAUGGAGCAAUGGAUGAAAAACAAUCGAGGAUUAUUACACACCAGUUUCAAGCAAUUCUAUGAAAUGAAGUAGGAAAACAAAAAUAGGUCGUCCGCAGACUUUUAAAGCUGUAACGUUUGAUCUGCAGAGUAUAUUAACUACGCCGUAUGCUGGGGAUUCGCAAAUAUAUUACAAGAGAAAGCUGAAUGCGUACAAUUUUAAAAUAUUUGAAUAUCCAUCAAAAAAUGGGUUUGUCUAUCUAUGGGAUGAAUUUAAUGCGCAGUGAAAUAGGCAGAUGCAUUCUCCAAUAUUUCUUUUUGUUACCCACAACAGUCAACCAUGUUGCUUCGUUUUCAGACGCAUGCGGUACGCAAAAUGAUAACAAGCAUGUGUCAGCUGCCAUGUUUUAUGGUGUCAAUAAAAUAAAUAAUCUAAAGAUAAUAGAUUUGAAAUUUAUGGAAUCCGGCCAUUCCUAUUUAGAAGCAGAUGCAAUGCAUUCAACUAUAGAAGGGGCAAGAAAACAUAAGAAUUUAUAUACCAUGAGAGAAUGGACUCUGCUUAUAUCCACGAUACGCAUUAACCCAAAACCUUACAGUGUACAAGCGCUUCAUCAUAACAACUUUUAUGACCUUAAGGAGCAUGCAAAAGACAUUAUGCACAACGCAACCAAAAAUACACUUGGCGACACCGUCAAUUGGUUGAUAAUAAGUGGCUAAAUAUAUAUAUAAAUAAAGUUUCUGCGUUUUGAAAAAGGAAAACCUUACAUUAUCCAACACAAAUAUAAUCAAUUGGAUGAGCAUUUUUUUGAGAUUGAUAUUAACAAGAAGAGUAAUGCUCAGGUGAAGAAUUGGAAUAAAAUUAUAUUAAAAGAGGCAUAUCCACGUCUGCUUCCAAUUAUUGAGAAAAAAAAUAAAGAUUAAAAGUCAUUAAUCUGUAGUGCUGUUAUCCCUGUGAAUUAUAAAUAUUUCUACAAUUUGCUGCUUUCAACAUCCAGAGGAACAAGUUGCGAUCCAGAUGAAGAUAUUCCCUGAUUAAUUGAUAUAAAUUUAAUUAAUAGUUCUGUUUUAUUAAAUAAAAA